rnacentral:rRNA from 1 species
AUACGGAGGGGGUUAGCGUUGUUCGGAAUUACUGGGCGUAAAGCGCACGUAGGCGGACUGGAAAGCUGGGGGUGAAAUCCCGGGGCUCAACCCCGGAACUGCCUCCAAAACUUCCAAUCUAGAGAUCGAGAGAGGUGAGUGGAAUUCAAAGUGUAGAGGUGAAAUUCGUAGAUAUUUGGAGGAACACCAGUGGCGAAGGCGGCUCACUGGCUCGAUACUGACGCUGAGGUGCGAAAGCGUGGGGAGCAAACAGGAUUAGAAACCCUAGUAGUCC